CCUACGGGAGGCAGCAGUGGGGGAUAUUGCACAAUGGGGGAAACCCUGAUGCAGCGACGCCGCGUGUGGGAAGACGGUCUUCUGGAUUGUAAACCACUGUCCCCAGGGACGAAAAUGACGGUACCUGGGGAGGAAGCUCCGGCUAACUACGUGCCAGCAGCCGCGGUAAUACGUAGGGGGCAAGCGUUAUCCGGAAUUACUGGGUGUAAAGGGAGCGUAGACGGUUAAGUAAGUCUGGAGUGAAAGGCCGGGGCCCAACCCCGGGACUGCUCUGGAAACUAUUGAACUUGAGUGCAGGAGAGGUAAGCGGAAUUCCUGGUGUAGCGGUGAAAUGCGUAGAUAUUAGGAGGAACACCAGUGGCGAAGGCGGCUUACUGGACUGUAACUGACGUUGAGGCUCGAAAGCGUGGGGAGCAAACAGGAUUAGAUACCCUUGUAGUC
rnacentral:rRNA from 1 species